UUGCUGAUGAAGUGUACCCUGUCUGACUGUGUUCACAUAAUUGCUGAUGGUGAAGUGUACCCUGUCUGACUGUUCACAUAAUUGGUGAUGAGUCGGUGAUGUGUACCCUGUCUGACUGUGUUCACAUAAUUGGUGAUGACUUGGUGAAGUGUACCUUGUCUGACUGUUCACAUAAUUGGUGAUGAGUCGGUGAAGUGUAUCCUGUCUGACUGUUCACAUAAUUGGUGAUGAGUCGGUGAAGUGUACCCUGUCUGACUGUUCACAUAAUUGGUGAUGAGUCGGUGAAGUGUAUCCUGUCUGACUGUUCACAUAAUCAGUGAUGAGUCGGUGAAGUGUACCCUGUCUGACUUGUGUCUCCACACCUCAUCCUAUAGAAGCCUGGUACAUGUAUCAAUAUAAAUGUAUUAAUGUUCCAAGUGUCUUGUUUCAUAUAUAGUAUUUGUUGAAGUUUAUGUUUUUGAAAUGCAGAUAUUUGUAAUAAACAAGAUUUUUCCAGGGGA